rnacentral:misc_RNA from 1 species
UCCGGCUUACCACCGGCAGUCUCACUAGAGUGCCCGACAUUACUCGCUGGCAACUAAUGACAAGGGUUGCGCUCGUUGCGGGACUUAACCCAACAUCUCACGACACGAGCUGACGACAGCCAUGCAGCACCUGUGCACGGACCCCGAAGGGAGGGUGUGUUUCCACACCUGUCCCGUGCAUGUCAAACCCCGGUAAGGUUCUUCGCGUUGCGUCGAAUUAAACCACAUGCUCCACCGCUUGUGCGGGCCCCCGUCAAUUCCUUUGAGUUUCAACCUUGCGGUCGUACUCCCCAGGCGGAACACUUAAUGCGUUAGCUGCGGCACUGGAGGGGUCGAUGCCUCCAACACCUAGUGUUCACCGUUUACGGCCAGGACUAC